GACGAACGCUGGCGGCGUGCUUAACACAUGCAAGUCGAACGGAAAGGCCCUGCUUUUGUGGGGUGCUCGAGUGGCGAACGGGUGAGUAACACGUGAGUAACCUGCCCUUGACUUUGGGAUAACUUCAGGAAACUGGGGCUAAUACCGGAUAGGAGCUCCUGCUGCAUGGUGGGGGUUGGAAAGUUUCGGCGGUUGGGGAUGGACUCGCGGCUUAUCAGCUUGUUGGUGGGGUAGUGGCUUACCAAGGCUUUGACGGGUAGCCGGCCUGAGAGGGUGACCGGCCACAUUGGGACUGAGAGACGGACCAGACUCCUACGGGAGGCAGCAGUGGGGAAUAUGGCACAAUGGGCGGAAGCCUGAUGCAGCAACGCCGCGUGCGGGAUGACGGCCUUCGGGUGGUAAACCGCUUUCGCCUGUGACGAAGCGUGAGUGACGGUAAUGGGUAAAGAAGCACCGGCUAACUACGUG
rnacentral:rRNA from 1 species